rnacentral:tRNA from 1 species
GAGGGUGUAGCUCAGCAGUAGAGCGCAUGCCUAGCGUUCACAAGGUCCUGGGUUCAAUCCCCAGUACCUCCA